rnacentral:rRNA from 1 species
CUUUACAAUGAAGAACGAAGGUUGGGGGAUCAAAGAGGAUCAGAUACCCUCGUCGUCCCAUUAAUUACAUCAAACGAUGGGCUCUCAAUUGCA